UCCAAAAAAUCAGAGGUAGCUAUAUUUUUUAUUGAUUGGUGAGAGCUAUGGAAAGAAAUAAAUGGACUUUAAGCACUGAAACGUGAUUUUGUAGCUGUAAUGUCAAUAUGUUGAAUUUUGUGGUAAAAUCCUAUAUCUUGUUUAUUAAUGUGUUGAAUUGACAAGUCAAGCUAGUAGAUAUUUAUAAUAUUAUAGUGGCAUGAUUGGAUGUUUUUAAAUAAAGAUUUACAAAAACUAUGCUAGUUUGGUAGCCCAUACUCGGAAUUGGUCUGCAUUUAAGUUAUCCAAGUACACACACACAGUAGUGAGAAGUGAACACACCGUGAACACAUACACAGAUUAGUGGGCAGCUAUAGAUCCUGCGCCCUGGGAGCAACUGAGGGGUUCAGCAGAACAGGUUAUUUUGCCAGGUGAGGGGGCGUGUUUUGGAGGGUAAGUGACGUCAAUGUAACCUUUUAUUUAAACUGCUGAGAAUGACGGUUCUGGCACUCAGUUGGACUGUUUGUUGAAGUCUGUGUAAAAUGGAGAAAAGUGAAAGCAACAUGGUUGUUUCCAGGUUUGGGAAGAAAGACUUCGUUGUACCUAAAGGUCUGAAUGUUUGCUUCUUGACGGAUUCCAUGUGCCGUGGUUUGGACCAAUACUGUGAGGGCGCAUAUUGUUGGGUUCAUCCUGGAACUACUCUGGUCCGUUCAGCACAACAGCACGUUUAUCAUCUGACAAGAGUAAAUGGGGAUGCCUUGUUAAUCAUUCACAUUGGGACAAAUGAUGUCGCUAGUGGGGUUUCAGCAGAAACCAUCGUUAACCGAAUGGCAUUGCUUGUGGAACGCCUUCGUCACUCUUUUAAGUACAAACUGUAUUUCGCUAUUUGUUCUGUUUUGCCUCGUUAUGUUGAUGACAAGCAAACUAAACAUACAGUGAAGCGAUGCAAUAUAUUGUUGGAAAGAUGGUCUAGUGAGAUGGACAAUGUUGUUUUUUUUUUGCGAACGUGGAGAGCAUUUGUGUCUGGAGGAUGUAUAUGUUCUGAAAUGUUCCGUCCAGAUGGACUUCACUUGAAUGUGAAAGGGAAAGAUCGUCUUUUUCAGUAUUUCAAACAUUUUUUGUGGAACUUUUGUAAUUAUAUUCUUCGUUUUCCAAGCUUGCAGCAAUAAAACUCUAUGGAAAUAAGCUUUUAAAAGUGUUGAUGCAACUUAUUUAUUGUUCGAUAUUUUUGGGGUUAA